GGCGCAGCAGUCGGGAAUUUUGGACAAUGGGCGCAAGCCUGAUCCAGCCAUUCCGCGUGCAGGAUGAAGGCCUUCGGGUUGUAAACUGCUUUUGUACGGAACGAAACGCUCUGGGUUAAUACCCUGGGGUAAUGACGGUACCGUAAGAAUAAGCACGGGCUAACUACGUGCCAGCAGCCGCGGUAAUACGUAGGGUGCGAGCGUUAAUCGGAAUCACUGGGCGUAAAGCGUGCGCAGGCGGUGAUGUAAGACAGGUGUGAAAUCCCCGGGCUUAACCUGGGAACUGCAUUUGUGACUGCAUCGCUGGAGUGCGGCAGAGGGGGAUGGAAUUCCGCGUGUAGCAGUGAAAUGCGUAGAUAUGCGGAGGAACACCGAUGGCGAAGGCAAUCCCCUGGGCCUGCACUGACGCUCAUGCACGAAAGCGUGGGGAGCAAACAGGAUUAGAUACCCGUGUAGUCCC
rnacentral:rRNA from 1 species